rnacentral:rRNA from 1 species
AAGGCAGCAGUGGGGAAUAUUGCACAAUGGGCGCAAGCCUGAUGCAGCCAUGCCGCGUGUAUGAAGAAGGCCUUCGGGUUGUAAAGUACUUUCAGUCGUGAGGAAGGUGUUAAGGUUAAUAACCUUAGCAAUUGACGUUAGCGACAGAAGAAGCACCGGCUAACUCCGUGCCAGCAGCCGCGGUAAUACGGAGGGUGCGAGCGUUAAUCGGAAUUACUGGGCGUAAAGGGCACGCAGGCGGUUAAUUAAGUUGGAUGUGAAAUCCCCGGGCUUAACCUGGGAAUGGCAUUCAAGACUGGUUAGCUAGAGUCUUGUAGAGGGGGUAGAAUUCCAUGUGUAGCGGUGAAAUGCGUAGAGAUGUGGAGGAAUACCGGUGGCGAAGGCGGCCCCUGGGACAAAGGACUGACGCUCAUGUGCGAAAGCGUGGGGAGCAAACGAGGAUUAGAUACC